UGCAGUCGAGCGGAACGAUCCUAGCUUGCUAGGAGGCGUCGAGCGGCGGACGGGUGAGUAAUGCAUAGGAAUCUGCCCGAUAGUGGGGGAUAACCUGAGGAAACUCAGGCUAAUACCGCAUACGUCCUACGGGAGAAAGCAGGGGCUCUUCGGACCUUGCGCUAUCGGAUGAGCUUAUGUCGGAUUAGCUGGUUGGUGAGGUAACGGCUCACCAAGGCGACGAUCCGUAGCUGGUCUGAGAGGAUGAUCAGCCACAUCGGGACUGAGACACGGCCCGAACUCCUACGGGAGGCAGCAGUGGGGAAUAUUGGACAAUGGGGGCAACCCUGAUCCAGCCAUGCCGCGUGUGUGAAGAAGGCCCUCGGGUUGUAAAGCACUUUCAGUGAGGAAGAAGGCUUGUCGGUUAAUACCCGGCAAGGGAGACAUCACUCACAGAAGAAGCACCGGCUAACUCCGUGCCAGCAGCCGCGGUAAUACGGAGGGUGCGAGCGUUAAUCGGAAUUACUGGGCGUAAAGCGUGCGUAGGCGGCUUGAUAAGCCGGUUGUGAAAGCCCCGGGCUCAACCUGGGAACGGCAUCCGGAACUGUCAGGCUAGAGUGCAGGAGAGGAAGGUAGAAUUCCCGGUGUAGCGGUGAAAUGCGUAGAGAUCGGGAGGAAUACCAGUGGCGAAGGCGGCCUUCUGGACUGACACUGACGCUGAGGUACGAAAGCGUGGGUAGCAAACAGGAUUAGAUACCCUGGUAGUCCACGCCGUAAACGAUGUCGACUAGCCCGUUGGGGUCCUCGAGACCUUUUUGGCGCAGUUAACGCACUAAGUCGACCGCCCUGGGGGAGUACGGCCGCAAGGUUAAAACUCAAUGAAUUUGACGGGGGCCCGCACAAGCGGUGGAGCCAUGGUGGUUUAAUUCGAUGCAACGCGAGAACCUUACCU
rnacentral:rRNA from 1 species